GACGAACGCUGGCGGCGUGCCUAAUACAUGCAAGUAGAACGCUGAAGGAGGAGCUUGCUUCUCUGGAUGAGUUGCGAACGGGUGAGUAACGCGUAGGUAACCUGCCUGGUAGCGGGGGAUAACUAUUGGAAACGAUAGCUAAUACCGCAUAAGAGUAGAUGUUGCAUGACAUUUGCUUAAAAGGUGCAAUUGCAUCACUACCAGAUGGACCUGCGUUGUAUUAGCUAGUUGGUGAGGUAACGGCUCACCAAGGCAACGAUACAUAGCCGACCUGAGAGGGUGAUCGGCCACACUGGGACUGAGACACGGCCCAGACUCCUACGGGAGGCAGCAGUAGGGAAUCUUCGGCAAUGGACGGAAGUCUGACCGAGCAACGCCGCGUGAGUGAAGAAGGUUUUCGGAUCGUAAAACUCUGUUGUAAGAGAAGAACGAGUGUGAGAGUGGAAAGUUCACACUGUGACGGUAUCUUACCAGAAAGGGACGGCUAACUACGUG
rnacentral:rRNA from 1 species